ACCAGCAGCUAGCUCUCUGCAACUCUCACAUGGUCGCCCACUGAAGCUGAGUAGGGCUGUGCCUGGUCAGUACAUGUAUGGGAGAACACAUGGAAAAACUAGGUUGCUGUCAUUA
rnacentral:rRNA from 1 species